AGCCAAGCUGUGAAUGACAAGAGGAGCCA
rnacentral:piRNA from 1 species